UACGUAGGGUGCGAGCGUUGUCCGGAAUUAUUGGGCGUAAAGGGCUCGUAGGCGGUUUGUCGCGUCGGGAGUGAAAACACCGGGCUUAACUCGGUGCUUGCUUUCGAUACGGGCAGACUAGAGGCAUGCAGGGGAGAACGGAAUUCCUGGUGUAGCGGUGAAAUGCGCAGAUAUCAGGAGGAACACCGGUGGCGAAGGCGGUUCUCUGGGGUAUUGCUGACGCUGAGGCACGAAAGCCAGGGGAGCGAACGGG
rnacentral:rRNA from 1 species